rnacentral:rRNA from 1 species
GAUGAACGCUAGCGGCAGGCUUAACACAUGCAAGUCGAGGGGUAUUUAUCUUCGGAUAGAGAGACCGGCGCACGGGUGCGUAACGCGUAUGCAAUCUACCUUUUACAGAGGGAUAGCCCAGAGAAAUUUGGAUUAAUACCUCAUAGUAUAUAGACUCGGCAUCGAGAUUAUAUUAAAGUCACAACGGUAAAAGAUGAGCAUGCGUCCCAUUAGCUAGUUGGUAAGGUAACGGCUUACCAAGGCUACGAUGGGUAGGGGUCCUGAGAGGGAGAUCCCCCACACUGGUACUGAGACACGGACCAGACUCCUACGGGAGGCAGCAGUGAGGAAUAUUGGACAAUGGGCGCAAGCCUGAUCCAGCCAUGCCGCGUGCAGAAUGACGGUCCUAUGGAUUGUAAACUGCUUUUAUACGAGAAGAAACACUGCUACGUGUAGUAGCUUGACGGUAGCGGAAGAAUAAGGAUCGGCUAACUCCGUG